rnacentral:rRNA from 1 species
CCUACGGGUGGCAGCAGUGGGGAAUAUUGCACAAUGGGGGAAACCCUGAUGCAGCGACGCCGCGUGAGUGAAGAAGUAUUUCUGUAUGUAAAGCUCUAUCAGCCGGGAAGAAAAUGACGGUACCUGACUAAGAAGCCCCGGCUAACUACGUGCCAGCAGCCGCGGUAAUACGUAGGGGGCAAGCGUUAUCCGGAUUUACUGGGUGUAAAGGGGGCGUAGACGGCGGAACAAGUCAGAAGUGAAAACCCGGGGCUCAACCCUGGGAGUGCUUUUGAAACUGGUUGGCUGGAGUGCAGGAGAGGUAAGCGGAAUUCCUAGUGUAGCGGUGAAAUGCGUAGAUAUUAGGAGGAACACCAGUGGCGAAGGCGACUUACUGGACUGUAACUGACGUUGAGGCGCGAAAGCGUGGGGAGCAAACGGGAUUAGAUACCCCUGUAGUC